CGUAUAUUAAAGUUGUUGCAGUUAAAAAGCUCGUAGUUGGAUUUGUGGCGUAUGGUGUGUUCCGGGCACUUGUUGUCUGAGUAACCUGCUGUUGCCAUCCUUGGGUGGAACCUGUGUGGCAUUAGGUUGUCGUGCAGGGGAUGCCCAUCUUUUACUGUGAAAAAAUUAGAGUGUUCAAAGCAGGCUUAUGCCGUUGCAUUCUCCAGCAUGGAAUAAUAAGAUAGGACCUUGGUACUAUUUUGUUGGUUUGCGCACCAAGGUAAUGAUUAAUAGGGACAGUUGGGGG
rnacentral:rRNA from 1 species